rnacentral:lncRNA from 1 species
GUGUCGGUGAGGAAGUUGAAAAGUUGGUUGCUGGGCUUCCGGAGGGUGGAGUUUUGCUCCUUGAGAAUGUCAGGUUCUACAAGGAGGAAGAGAAGAAUGAUCCUGAGUUCGCGAAGAAGCUUGCUUCACUUGCAGAUGUGUAUGUGAAUGAUGCUUUUGGCACUGCUCACAGAGCUCAUGCAUCCACAGAAGGAGUGGCCAAGUACUUGAAGCCUUCUGUUGCUGGGUACCUUAUGCAGAAGGUAUGAACCCUGUAACUAAUUAUUGCACUUAAACUAUUAAACUUCAUUUCCCUACUUCUCAUUGUAUUGAUUAUAAGCCAUUAUCAUUGAACUUUUAUUCGUCUGGUGAUUUCAGGAACUUGAUUAUCUUGUUGGUGCUGUGUCAAAUCCCAAGAGGCCAUUUGCUGCUAUUGUUGGUGGCUCGAAGGUGUCAUCCAAGAUUGGAGUCAUAGAGUCCUUAUUGGAGAAGGUUAACAUUCUAGUGUUGGGUGGAGGAAUGAUCUUUACCUUUUACAAGGCACAAGGGCUUUCCGUUGGAUCUUCCCUUGUUGAGGAAGACAAGCUAGAUCUUGCAAAAUCACUUAUGGAGAAGGCAAAGGCCAAGGGAGUCUCUAUUCUGCUCCCAACUGAUGUGGUUAUUGCUGAU